ACACUGACGACAUGGUUCUACGCAGGUGGUAAACUCCAUCUAAGGCUAAAUAUGACCACGAGACCGAUAGCAAACAAGUACCGUGAGGGAAAGUUGAAAAAGAACUUUGAAGAGAGWAGUUAAAAAGUGCGUAGAAACCGUUAAGAAGGAAAACGGGUGAAACCUCGAAGAUCGAAACACUGACGACAUGGUUCUACGCAGGUGGUAAACUCCAUCUAAGGCUAAAUAUGACCACGAGACCGAUAGCAAACAAGUACCGUGAGGGAAAGUUGAAAAAGAACUUUGAAGAGAGWAGUUAAAAAGUGCGUAGAAACCGUUAAGAAGGAAAACGGGUGAAACCUCGAAGAUCGAA
rnacentral:rRNA from 1 species